GACGAACGCUGGCGGCGUGCCUAAUACAUGCAAGUCGAACGCUUCUUUCCUCCCGAGUGCUUGCACUCAAUUGGAAAGAGGAGUGGCGGACGGGUGAGUAACACGUGGGUAACCUACCCAUCAGAGGGGGAUAACACUUGUAAACAGGUGCUAAUACCGCAUAACAGUUUAUGCCGCAUGGCAUAAGAGUGAAAGGCGCUUUCGGGUGUCGCUGAUGGAUGGACCCGCGGUGCAUUAGCUAGUUGGUGAGGUAACGGCUCACCAAGGCCACGAUGCAUAGCCGACCUGAGAGGGUGAUCGGCCACACUGGGACUGAGACACGGCCCAGACUCCUACGGGAGGCAGCAGUAGGGAAUCUUCGGCAAUGGACGAAAGUCUGACCGAGCAACGCCGCGUGAGUGAAGAAGGUUUUCGGAUCGUAAAACUCUGUUGUUAGAGAAGAACAAGGACGUUAGUAACUGAACGUCCCCUGACGGUAUCUAACCAGAAAGCCACGGCUAAAUACGU
rnacentral:rRNA from 1 species